UACGAAGGAUGCAAGCGUUAUCCGGAUUUAUUGGGUUUAAAGGGAGCGUAGGCGGUCUUAUAAGUCAGUGGUGAAAUCUCGUUGCUUAACAACGACCGUGCCAUUGAUACUGUAGGACUUGAGUACAGUUGCCGUUGGCGGAAUGUGUCAUGUAGCGGUGAAAUGCAUAGGAUAUGACACAGAACACCGAUUGCGAAGGCAGCUGACGAAACUGUAACUGACGCUGAGGCUCGAAAGCGUGGGGAUCAAACAGGGAUUAGACUACCCGUG
rnacentral:rRNA from 1 species